rnacentral:rRNA from 1 species
GACGAACGCUGGCGGCGUGCUUAACACAUGCAAGUCGAACGGGAUUUAGUAGACAGAAGCCUCGGCUAAAGAUUACUAAUGAGAGUGGCGAACGGGUGAGUAACGCGUGAGCAACCUGCCUAUGACAGUGGGAUAGCCUCGGGAAACCGGGAUUAAUACCGCAUAAAAUCGUAGAAACACAUGUUUUAACGGUCAAAGAUUUAUCGGUCAUAGAUGGGCUCGCGUCUGAUUAGCUAGUUGGUGAGAUAACAGCCCACCAAGGCGACGAUCAGUAGCCGGUCUGAGAGGAUGAACGGCCACAUUGGAACUGAGACACGGUCCAAACUCCUACGGGAGGCAGCAGUGGGGAAUAUUGCACAAUGGGGGAAACCCUGAUGCAGCGACGCCGCGUGAACGAAGAAGGUAUUCGUAUUGUAAAGUUCUGUCCUAUGGGAAGAUAAUGACAGUACCAUAGAAGAAAGCUCCGGCUAAAUACGUG